rnacentral:lncRNA from 1 species
AAAAGGAAGAAGUUGGAGUGACUCCCUAAGCAAAACAACUGCUUAAAGAUUAAAGACGCACAGAGCACUUCUCCUGAAGGGCAGUCAACCAGAAUUCUGGAGUCAAAAGCAAGCAGCUGAAGAAUCUAGAAGGCUGAGGAACAUACGGCCUUCUCAACUUUAUGUGGAAAAAAACCAAAACAACAACAACAACAACAACAACAACAACAACAACAACAACAAAAUUCGGGAUCGAUAUAGCAAUUCUGUACAAUAGAAGGGCUUCUGGAGUUAUCACCAUCCCUGAUUUCAAGCUGUAUUACAGAGCAAGAGUAAUAAAACUAGAUGGUAUUGGCAUAAGAACAGACAAAAUGAUCAAUGGAAUAGAAUUGAAGACCGAAAAAAUAAACCCACACACUUAUAGAAACUUUUCUUUUUGACAAAGAAGCCAAAACCAUACAAUGCAAGAAAGAUAGCAUCUUUAACAAAUGAUGCUACUGGGUGUCUGCAUGUUGAAGAAUGCAAAUCGAUCCAUGUUCAUCACCCUGCACAAAACCCAAGUCCAAGUGUAUCAAAGACCAAUGCAUAUCAACAUAAAACCAGACACACUAAAUAGAAGAGAACGUGGGGAACUGCCUUAAACACAUUGGCACAGGAGACAACUUCCUGCACAGAACACCAAUAACUCACUCAGAUCAGCAAUUAAUAAAUGGGAGCUGGAGCUGGAGCUGGAGCUGGAGCUGGAGCUGGAGCUGGAGCUGGAGCUGGAGCUGGAGCUGGAGCUGAGAGCUGGAGCUGGAGCUGGAGCUGGAGCUGGAGCUGAGAGCUGGAGCUGAGAGCUGGAGCUGAGAGCUGGAGCUGGAGCUGGAGCUGGAGCUGAGAGCUGGAGCUGGAGCUGGAGCUGGAGCUGGAGCUGGAGCUGGAGCUGGAGCUGGAGCUGGAGCUGGAGCUGGAGCUGGAGCUGGAGCUGGAGCUGGGGAGAUAGUUCAGUGGUUAAGAACAAUUGCAGCGGUUAAGAACCUCCCACCUCAAUGCCCUCCAUGCUGACUGGAAACAGGAACUGGGUCAAGAAUGAGGGUCCCAGCAGACUUUCUUCUUAGAUGGCAGGUAGCUUUCAUUUUCAGCUUGCUUUAUUUAGGAAGUCUCCUUCACUACUCCCUUGAGUACUUCCCAGUACUCCUUCAAAAGCAGCGAAUUCCUAGCAACCCCAUUGUCACUCACAACCAUCUGUUACACAAUCAGAGGCCAUAUUCUGGUGUGUCUGAAAACAGUGACAGUGUACUCAGAUACAUAAAUAAAUAAAUCUUUAAAUUUUUUUUUCUAAAAUGGGAACUCAUGAAACUGAAUAGCUCCUGGAAGACAAAGGACACCAUCAAUAGGACAAAACAGCAGCCUACAGAAUGGGAAAAGAUCUUCACCAACCCUACAUCUGACAGAGUUCUGAUGGAAGGGGAUAGUAACUGGAUUGUAAAAAAAA